GUGGGUUUUAACCCAACAUAGCACAAAGGAUGAGAAAGGCAAUCUGCACUCUGCAGUCUCUGAGAGUAGGCAAUAGUUUUAGGUGUGAGAUUCAAAUCCAAUUCAUUUUUUCUUCUAAAAAUGUAUACUAUCAUAGUGAGAACAUUUUUGUCUCCUUGGAUAUAGAAGCACUUUGCCAAACAACAAAAUUUCCCAUGUUGCAGCUUCAUUCUUAAUUUCUCCCAAGAAAUUAGUUUUUCGCACUUGGGUGUCAUAAAAGAAAUCCAAUCUUGAACAGACCUCAUACUAAGUUACUAAAUUUUAUUUGAAGAAGCAUGCUAGUCUUGUAGUUAUAGUAAAUUUAUUUUCUUUAUCAAAAUUAAAUUUAAAAAUAAAUAAAUCCACAAUGAUACACAACCUAGGUUGAAUUCCCCAAUUAGGAUGUAUGAAGACUGCAUCACAAUUUACGCCACCUAACAACAAAACUCCACUUUCACUACAUAUAUACUCCAAGGCUGUUCUAAUAAUAGAAGAAAAAGAAAUUUACAUAUGAACGCAUGCAUAUAAAAACUUUAAAAUCAGCACUCUAACAGAUUUCAUUAUCCAUCUUACAUAUGCAUUCCACAAUCAUUCAUAUACAAAAAAAUAACCCAGAUAGUAUAGUAAAUGCUCCCCCCUUUGUUGUUAACAUAUUCUUACAUCUUCAUAUUUAUUCAAUAGCUUUUUCUGCUACAUUGCUUCUUUACUCCUCUAGGAUCCAUUUUUUUCCCUUGAUGCUUUACCGAGUUUAUUUUCACAUUCACUUUUUAUGUUUCAUUAUGUACAAAUUACCCAAUAUGGACUCCAGCAGGAUAAGGUUUGCCUUACAUUACUCAACACUUUGCACUUAUGUUUGUAACUUGGAUAAUUAUCAUGCUGCUUAUGGUCAACCUCUUAAGGCUCAACAAUGUCAAUUCAAAGUCUCCUCCAUAAGGAAUCCCAGCCUAAUAUCUUAAGAAAAAGGUCCACAAACAAUAGGAUCCCAACACAUUUAUAUAUUGAGCUUC
rnacentral:misc_RNA from 1 species